GCCCCUGUAGCGCCAAUGGAUAGCGCGUUGGACUUCUAAUCCAAAGGUCGUGGAUUCGAAUCCUAUCUGGGAUA